AUCGACCUAAUAGCUAGUGUCCUUUUCCGCUAUCUCAGCUUCCUUACAAAGCUGGACUCUAUUAGGUUCCUUAAGUACCAAAAACCAGAAAAACAAAAAAUAAAAAGAGGGAAAAAUACAUACUAGGAGAUUGAAGGAGACCACCAAGGAUAAUAGGGCAUAAAAGAAGCAAGACAAUGUGAACAAAUUACCUUGCUCACAAAGAGUCAUUAAAAGUGAAUUUACAUCGAGCAACGAUCUCAUCGCUAACCUAAAUUGAGAAUUUAUCGAAAUUAACCUCAAAUACUGACCACCAACCGAAAAACCCUCCUUCCAAACAUACCUUCUCCCCUCAUCCAAAAGAGCAACAUACCAAAUCCAAUAACAAAGAAUACCAGAUCCUUAGCAGUUGACAUACAUCACCUCCAAAACCCAAACACUAUGCUUUGGAUGAGGUUAGGAUUUCCAUCCUCAACACUAUUGUCAACUAGGCCUGGUUAUUGGGUAGGAUUACCCAAUGGCAAAAGGGUCGGACCUAAUACUAAAGGGUUUUGACCCUUUAAUUUUUUAGUGGACAGGGCUUUUAUAGGGUUUCCAAUUAUAGCCCAAUAAUUUAAGAAUUAAAAUAAAAGCCCAAUAAUAAUGGUUAAGGGUCAGCCACUCAGCCCUCACUUCCAUUUUCUCUCUCUUCUCCUUUGUUCUUCCGCCCACCUUUCUCUCUCCUCCAUUGAAGCGCACUCAGAGUUCUCCAUUGAAGCCGCUUCUCUGCUUCUCAGGUGGUGGUUGGAAUAAUUGGGAUGAUUGGUCUUCUUCGUUUCCCGAUGAUCCGACUUUUGAUUUCGUUUAUGAGGUUUUGUGUUGGAUGGUUUUCUCAAAUUGCUUACAUUUUGCGUUCAAAAAGCUUGUUCGUUUGAUUACUAAGGAAAGAGAGAAGGUUCCGUUGAGAAUGGAAGUUUGCUGAUAAUUUACCGGUACUUUUAUUCGUUCUGAUGUAUAUAAUUGUACAUAUUAUGGUUGAAUUCUCGAACAUAUUAUUGGUUAAAUUGUACAUAUGGUAUGGAGUAGUUCUAAUUUGAUCGAUAAUUUGCCGAAAUCUUUGUUCCUUAGGUAGUUGUGAAUUGAUUCUUAAUUUACCGAAAUUAUUGUUUCUUAAAUUGCUAUUUAUCGAUUGAUAAUUUGCC